rnacentral:sRNA from 1 species
GCUGGGUGUGGUGGCCACACCUGUGAUCCCAGCUGCUUGAGAGGCUGAGGCAGGAGGAUUGCAAAUUUGAGGCAGCCUGUGCAACUUAGCAAAACCAUGUUUCAA